rnacentral:piRNA from 1 species
UGCCAUGUUGGCCAGGGUGGUCUCGAACU